AGCUUCGCGCAGUGGCAGUAUCAUAGCCAAUGAGGUUUAUCCGAGGUGCAAAAUUGCUAAUUGAAAACUUUUCCCAAUACCCUGCCAUGAAGACUUGCAAUAUAGUCGGCAUUGGCAAUUUUUGACAGUCUCUAUGGAGA
rnacentral:snRNA from 1 species